rnacentral:ncRNA from 1 species
AAUUUGCAGUUACUCUGCCUGCUGCUUUCUCCAAAAGUUAACGGAGGCGUGCAAAGGUUAUCUCAGGCGGGGAUGGAAGUUGGCCUUCGAGUGCAAAAGCGGGAGCUUGACUACAAGACCCACCAAUCGAGCAAGGGCGAGAGUCGGCUUUAGUACUCACACGAGUGGAAUGGCCGUCUCUCAGCGGAUAAAAGUUAC